UGCCAGCCGCCGCGGUAACACGGAGAGUGCAAGCGUUGUUCGGAAUUAUUGGGCUUAAAGGGCGUGUAGGCGGAGUAUCAGGUGUCGUGUGAAAGCCCCGGGCUCAACCCGGGAAUGGCAUGGCAAACCGGCACUCUUGAGGCAGGUAGAGGUGAUCGGAACGACUGGUGGAGCGGUGAAAUGCGUAGAUAUCAGUUGGAACGCCAGAGGCGAAAGCGGAUCACUGGACCUGUCCUGACGCUGAGACGCGAAAGCGUGGGGAGCGAACAGGAUUAGAUA
rnacentral:rRNA from 1 species